AGAGAAGUAUUUAAAAAUAAUAAAAUCUAAAUUGCAAUUAGAAAUUGAAACUUUCCUUCUCUG
rnacentral:tRNA from 1 species